GCCCUGGGGAAACUGUGAGCUUUUAUGGGUGUUCCUCUAGUGCCCCGGAGAGCAGAAGAGAGGAGUACCAUUGCCCUUCCCAGAACUGUGGUCGGCAACAUUUAACAGCAUUUCAAUACCGAUAUUCCGAAACACUGGAAGUGAGUUUUCAAUGCUCCCAACACAAAGAAAUUAUGCCAGUGUCACUCUGCAGGGCCUAUCAGUCACUGGAAAAACAAGGACUUGGUUCCAAUCUCAACUGUCUAUCUCUAGUCCUACUGGAUUCGGGCUGAAGUCACUACCUGUCUGUCUGUCUUGUGGUCUGCUUGUUUGUCCAAGCUGCUGCUCUACUGAUCCCCUCCGCUGGCUCCGAGGAAUGUCAUGCUGGAUGGACCCCUGCCUCUCAAGGAGAAGGACUGGAUAAAGACACCUGAAUUGGACGUUUUUGUUUUGUUUGAAGACUCAGAUGUAU
rnacentral:sRNA from 1 species